rnacentral:snoRNA from 1 species
GGCACUUAUGUAUGUUUUUGUUUAACGUGGACAAAGACUUGUGGAUAGGUGCAAAAGUAAAUCCUCUUUUGCAACCCAGAACUCAUUGUUCAGUAUGAGUUUUGAUACAUAUAAGAAGGGAUAUU